CGUGGGGGAUAACCUCGGGAAACCGGGACUAAUACCGCAUACGUCCUACGGGAGAAAGCGGGGGAUCUUCGGACCUCGCGCGGUUGGACGGACCGAUGUGCGAUUAGCUAGUUGGUAGGGUAAAGGCCUACCAAGGCGACGAUCGCUAGCUGGUCUGAGAGGAUGAUCAGCCACACUGGAACUGAGACACGGUCCAGACUCCUACUGGAGGCAGCAGUGGGGAAUAUUGGACAAUGGGCGCAAGCCUGAUCCAGCAAUGCCGCGUGUGUGAAGAAGGCCUUCGGGUUGUAAAGCACUUUUAUCAGGAACGAAAUACCACGGGUCAAUAACCGGUGGGGCUGACGGUACCUGAGGAAUAAGCACCGGCUAACUUCGUGCCAGCAGCCGCGGUAAUACGAAGGGUGCAAGCGUUAAUCGGAAUUACUGGGCGUAAAGGGUGCGUAGGCGGUUCGUUAAGUCUGUUGUGAAAUCCCCGGGCUCAACCUGGGAAUGGCAAUGGAUACUGGCGAGCUAGAGUGUGUCACAGGAUGGUGGAAUUUCCGGUGUAGCGGUGAAAUGCGUAGAGAUCGGAAGGAACAUCAGUGGCGAAGGCGGCCAUCUGGGACA
rnacentral:rRNA from 1 species